rnacentral:rRNA from 1 species
UAGUCCACGCCGUAAACGAUGAUAACUAGCUGCUCGGGCUCUUAGAGCUUGGGUGGCGCAGCUAACGCAUUAAGUUAUCCGCCUGGGGAGUACGGUCGCAAGAUUAAAACUCAAAGGAAUUGACGGGGGCCUGCACAAGCGGUGGAGUAUGUGGUUUAAUUCGAAGCAACGCGCAGAACCUUACCUGGACUUAACAUUCAGCGACAACCUCAGAGAUGAGGCUUUCUCUUCGGAGACGCUGGGAUAGGUGCUGCAUGGCUGUCGUCAGCUCGUGUCGUAAGAUGUUGGGUUAAGUCCCGCAACGAGCGCAACCCUUAUCCUUAGUUGCCAGUAUUAAUUUAGGGACUCUAAGGAGACUGCCGGUGUUAAACCGGAGGAAGGCGGGGAUGAUGUCAAGUCCUCAUGGCCCUUACGUCCAGGGCUACACACGUACUACAAUGGCAGAGACAAACCGUCGCUAAACUGUGAAGUGGAGCUAAUCGGAAAAACACUGUCCCAGUCCGGA